ensembl:lncRNA
GUAGGCUAAAGCAGCACAGGGAGGGGCAAGAGAGCGGUAGAGACGGGCGCACAAACUAAUUUGGCCACGUCUGUUCUCCCAUAACCAGCGCUCUACAAGCUGAAAGCCGUUCUGCAAGAGAUGUUUGGUCUGUCUUUGUCGUAGGGUUUACUCAUAAUUCCGAGGAGCGUUUGAAAUCGUCGGAGUGAACCGAGUUUUACACCCUUGGCGCUGUGCUUUUGAUGGCGUUCUUGCAGAGGACUGGAGACUACUGCCACGCUCAACAUCCCAGAGCAUAGGCUGAUCCAGGGGAGGAUGCCCACUGCUCUGCCUUCUCCGCCUAAUACCCUGCACUGAUCCCUGGGUACCAACGCAUCGAGGGCUCCCUGCCUCCCAGGACUCUCCACACCCUAGGUCUGUCACUCUAAGACCCUCUCUCAGGAACCCUAAUGGGAUGAUUGGACUAACUAUUCCACGACUCUUCAGUGAAAGCCCAAGACCUC